rnacentral:rRNA from 2 species
ACUCUUACGGGAGGCAGCAGUGGGGAAUAUUGCACAAUGGGCGAAAGCCUGAUGCAGCUAUACCGCGUGUAUGAAGAAGGCCUUAGGGUUGUAAAGUACUUUCGUCGGGGAAGAAAAAUUAACAGAUAAUACCUGUUUUUCUUGACGUUACCCGAAGAAGAAGCACCGGCUAACUCCGUGCCAGCAGCCGCGGUAAUACGGAGGGUGCAAGCGUUAAUCAGAAUUACUGGGCGUAAAGAGCUCGUAGGCGGUUUUUUAAGUCAGAUGUGAAAUCCCUGGGCUUAACCUAGGAACUGUGUUUGAAACUAAAAAGCUAGAGUCUCGUAGAGGGAGGUAGAAUUCUAGGUGUAGCGGUGAAAUGCGUAGAUAUCUGGAGGAAUACCUGUGGCGAAAGCGGCCUCCUAGACGAAUACUGACGCUGAGGUGCGAAAGCAUGGGGAGCAAACAGGAUUAGAUACCCUGGUAGUCCAUGCCGUAAACGAUGUCGACUUGGAGGUUGUUUCCUUGAGAAGUGACUUCCGAAGCUAACGCGUUAAGUCGACCGCCUGGGGAGUACGGUCGCAAGGCUAAAACUCAAAUGAAUUGACGGGGGCCCGCACAAGCGGUGGAGCAUGUGGUUUAAUUCGAUGUAACGCGAAAAACCUUACCUGGUCUUGACAUCCACAGAAUUUUUUAGAGAUGAAAAAGUGCCUUAUGGAACUGUGAGACAGGUGCUGCAUGGCUGUCGUCAGCUCGUGUUGUGAAAUGUUGGGUUAAGUCCCGCAACGAGCGCAACCCUUAUCCCUUGUUGCCAUUGGUUCGGCCAGGAACUCAAGGGAGACUGCCGGUUAUAAACCGGAGGAAGGUGGGGACGACGUCAAGUCAUCAUGGCCCUUACGACCAGGGCUACACACGUGCUACAAUGGUGUAUACAAAGAGAAGCAACUCUGUAAAGAUAAGCAAACCUCAUAAAGUACAUCGUAGUCCGGACUGGAGUCUGCAACUCGACUCCACGAUCCGGAAAAUCGCUAA